CCUACGGGGGGCUGCAGUGGGGAAUAUUGGACAAUGGGGGGAACCCUGAUCCAGCCAUGCCGCGUGUGUGAAGAAGGCCCUCGGGUUGUAAAGCACUUUCAGUGAGGAAGAACUCCUGGUGGUUAAUACCCAUCAGGAAAGACAUCACUCACAGAAGAAGCACCGGCUAACUCCGUGCCAGCAGCCGCGGUAAUACGGAGGGUGCGAGCGUUAAUCGGAAUUACUGGGCGUAAAGCGCGCGUAGGUGGCUUGAUAAGCCGGUUGUGAAAGCCCCGGGCUCAACCUGGGAACGGCAUCCGGAACUGUCAAGCUAGAGUGCAGGAGAGGAAGGUAGAAUUCCCGGUGUAGCGGUGAAAUGCGUAGAGAUCGGGAGGAAUACCAGUGGCGAAGGCGGCCUUCUGGACUGACACUGACACUGAGGUGCGAAAGCGUGGGUAGCAAACAGGAUUAGAUACCCGAGUAGUC
rnacentral:rRNA from 1 species